UGCCAGCAGCCGCGGUAAGACGGAGGGGGCUAGCGUUGUUCAGAAUUACUGGGCGUAAAGCGCGCGUAGGCGGCCUGUCGAGUCGGGCGUGAAAUCCCAGGGCUCAACCUUGGAACUGCAUUUUUAACUGCCGAGCUAGAGUAUGUCAGAGGGGGGUAGAAUUCCACGUGUAGCAGUGAAAUGCGUAGAUAUGUGGAGGAAUACCGAUGGCGAAGGCAGCCCCCUGGGAUAAUACUGACGCUCAGACACGAAAGCGUGGGGAGCAAACAGGAUUAGAUA
rnacentral:rRNA from 1 species